rnacentral:rRNA from 1 species
GAUGAACGCUGGCGGCGUGCCUAAUGCAUGCAAGUCGAGCGAACAGAUAAGGAGCUUGCUCCUUUGACGUUAGCGGCGGACGGGUGAGUAACACGUGGAUAACCUACCUAUAAGACUGGGAUAACUUCGGGAAACCGGAGCUAAUACCGGAUAACAUAUUGAACCGCAUGGUUCAAUAGUGAAAGGCGGCUUUGCUGUCACUUAUAGAUGGAUCCGCGCCGUAUUAGCUAGUUGGUAAGGUAACGGCUUACCAAGGCAACGAUACGUAGCCGACCUGAGAGGGUGAUCGGCCACACUGGAACUGAGACACGGUCCAGACUCCUACGGGAGGCAGCAGUAGGGAAUCUUCCGCAAUGGGCGAAAGCCUGACGGAGCAACGCCGCGUGAGUGAUGAAGGUCUUCGGAUCGUAAAACUCUGUUAUCAGGGAAGAACAAAUGUGUAAGUAACUGUGCACAUCUUGACGGUACCUGAUCAGAAAGCCACGGCUAACUACGUG